rnacentral:piRNA from 1 species
UUCAUUAGUGCCUAAGCUGAGUGUAUUGCUC